rnacentral:rRNA from 1 species
GACGAACGCUGGCGGCGUGCUUAACACAUGCAAGUCGAACGGAAAGGCCCUGCUUUUGUGGGGUGCUCGAGUGGCGAACGGGUGAGUAACACGUGAGUAACCUGCCCUUGACUUUGGGAUAACUUCAGGAAACUGGGGCUAAUACCGGAUAGGAGCUCCUGCUGCAUGGGGGGGGUUGGAAAGUUUCGGCGGUUGGGGAUGGACUCGCGGCUUAUCAGCCUGUUGGUGGGGUAGUGGAAUACCAAGGCUUUGACGGGUAGCCGGCCUGAGAGGGUGACCGGCCACAUUGGGACUGAGGUACGGCCCAGACUCCUACGGGAGGCAGCAGUGGGGAAUAUUGCGCAAUGGCCGGACGCCUGAUGCAGCAACGCCGCGUGCGGGAUGACGUCCUUCGGGUUGUAAACCGCUUUCGCCUGUGACGAAGCGUUAGUGACGGUAAUGGGUAAAGAAGCACCGGCUAACUACGUG